rnacentral:lncRNA from 1 species
GGCGGCGGGAGGAAGCGGCGGGAGUCGGGACUGCGGCGGAGCCGCUCCCACAGCGCCCUCUAAUGAAAGCGCCGCCGCCGCUGCCUGGCCCGCUUGCCCCGCCUGGCCCGCUCCCCCUACCCCUGCGCCAGCGAGUCGGGGCCCUCGGGGCUACCUGGACGCUCGGCCAGGACCUCAUCUUGUUUCAGGAAAGCAGCUGGAACAUUAAUGGCAAUUCCACUUUCCCAUUCAUCGCCCCCGCCCCCACCACCCCACCAAGAAACUCAGUGGGAAUGAAUGGUCUACACAGAGAAACUGAAAUCUGGUUAGUCAAGAAGGAAAAAACAACCAAGUGCCUGGCAUUAAGAGGAUUUUUUUUUUAAGCUCAGCCUAUGGACAACAAAAGCAUGGACUGUAUUUCUCAGCAUCUUUUGCACUUGAACAAGAUUAUUUUUUCCUUGAAAAUUGACAUGGAUGGUCUGCCACUGUGGGCUUUAUCUUCAACAUCGUCUCACCCUUCUUAUUAAUAACACAAGUUAUCCACUUGUAAACUGCUGUUUUUUUGGGGCUAUCCACUUGUAAACUGCUGUUUUUUUGGGGGCACUGUCACCAUAAACUUUUGAUAAGGCAUCAGUGAUUUCAACAUUCUUCACCCAAGCUUCACCAUAAAUUUGAUGUUUCUUUUUGCUUCAUUUUAGCAGAAUUUGUUCCAAUAGGGGCUCUUUUCGAACUGAUUUUUUUUUUCAUUUUUUUCCACUGGGAUUUUGAGAAAAUCAAACUGAUAGCCUUCUUAGUGCCUCAAACUAGAUCCUGUUCAGACACAAACAAGUUAGUAUGAGUUUGUUUCAGUGAAAAAAAAAUUUGAAAUUCAUGCAUAGUUUUUCAUAAUGUGAAUUUUUCAUGAACUUUUGGAAGACCUUUUGAAUACUUUUUUAAUUGCAGCACUCUUUUGCACCAUAAAACUAAUUGGUGGCUUUACCAUUAAGAAGUUGAGCCAAGCAAACAAUAAUGAAAAUGCUUUAUGUGGAAUAAAAAUUUACACUUAAAUGCCUUUUUUGCUUCCUUUUUCUC